rnacentral:rRNA from 1 species
UAGUCCACGCCGUAAACGAUGUCAACUAGCCGUUGGGUCCAUUUAAGGGCUUAGUGGCGCAGCUAACGCGAUAAGUUGACCGCCUGGGGAGUACGCCGGCAACGGUAAAACUCAAAUGAAUUGACGGGGGCCCGCACAAGCGGUGGAGCAUGUGGUUUAAUUCGAUGCAACGCGAAAAACCUUACCUACCCUUGACAUCCUCAGAACUUGUUAGAGAUAACUUGGUGCCUUCGGGAACUGAGUGACAGGUGCUGCAUGGCUGUCGUCAGCUCGUGUCGUGAGGUGUUCGGUUAAGUCCGGCAACGAGCGCAACCCCUGUCGUUAGUUGCCAGCAUUUAGUUGGGGACUCUAACGAGACUGCCGGUGACAAACCGGAGGAAGGUGGGACGACGUCAAGUCCUCAUGGCCCUUAUGUCUGGGGCUACACACGUGCUACAAUGGCGUCUACAGAGGGCAGCGAGACCGCGAGGUGGAGCAAAUCCCAAAAAAGACGUCUCAGUUCGGAUUGGAGUCUGCAACUCGA